CCGCCUCAUUAAUGGGCCGUACCGGCGGACAGUGAGAGCCCUGGUCUUCACAUUAAAGCACCGAGCUGAAAUCCGGGCUCAGGUGAAGAACGGCUCGCUGCCAGUCGGCACGUUUGUACAGACCCACAAAAAGUGACCUGAGGACGGUUCCAGUCCUGGGCUGGGCAGAGAGGAAAAUGGGCCUCUCUGUGCCAUUCAAAGACUCUUUUGAGUUUGGCUGAUAGCGGCUGGUGGCUGUGCUAAAUUUUCCCAUGGUGCCAUUGCGUGGCAGACAGAGGAUGCAGAGAGCCUUGGGAGACAGGCCUGCAGGAACGUGCUUCAUUAGCUGUAAUGUCUGGUGCUGCCUAACAGGAUGCACUCGGGCUGUCACUAGGAAGUACCAUACAGUUGCCAUCACCCAACACCGCGAAAGGGUGACGGAUUUCACUGUGAGUAUGCCAAGGACACCUCUAAACUCCCCCCAUGUCAGACAGAUGAAGUUACUACUUUAUUUAGCCACCCUGCAGGUAACUGAAACUCAAUUACUGCUGCCGCUCACUUGGUUCCAUCCCCCUGAGUUUAGAUAGCUCCCGUGCCUCUCAGAACUCCCCUGUCUGUUUUCUUUGCUCCACCCCAGGGGUGAGCCUGCCAGAGCCUGCUGACUACCCCUUCUUUCCAGAGCUCACUUAUCUGAACGUUUCAGCUCUCCCUGGAAGACCUUCUGCAUUGGUCUCUGGAGCCCCCAUGCUGAGGCUUCUAAUGAGGAACUGGCCUGAAGCCUCCUCACACCUCAGGGUUUAUUUGAAUAAGUUGGUGCUCUUGGUUUAAGGCUCUGUCGAAGAUACAUAAUGAAAUUUUUCUUGAAGUUAAUUACUGCAGUAGAAAGAAAUACAUGCAUAUAUAUUUUAAAAUGAAAUGCCUCUAUAUAGGCCUGCUUGAACAAUUAUGUAAAUGAUACUUGCUUUUUAAAGUAAUAAUAAACUGGGACUUUUUUCCUAAAACAAAAA